AUGCCCCGCUUCUCCUCCACCACGCCAAUGUCGCCACCCCGCCUCCUCCUCCGACUCCGCGCCCGCCACUCCUCCUCCAUCUCUCAUCCCUCACGCAUCUGGGAUCCCCACGCCGCCUUCGCCGCCGCGACGCAGCGGGCGCGCUCUGGCACGCUCACCACGGAGGACGCACACCACCUGUUCGACGAAUUGCUGCGGCAGGGCAAUCCUGUCCAGGAGCGUCCCUUGACUAACUUUCUGGCUGCCCUCGCCCGCGCGCCCGCGUCCGCAUCCUGCAGCGAUGGCCCCGCCCUGGCCGUAGCCCUCUUCGGUCGUUUGUCCCGAGGCGCCGGACGACACGUGGUGCAGCCAAAUGUCUUCACCUAUGGCGUCCUCAUGGACUGCUGCUGCCGCGCACACCGCCUGGAUCUGGCGCUCGCCUUCUUCAGCCGUCUCCUCAAGACGGGCCUGGAGGCAGACCAAGUCGUCUUCAGCACCCUCCUGAAGGGCCUUUGCCACACAAAGCGGGCGGAUGAGGCUCUGGACGUGCUGCUUCACAGGAUGACUGAGCUGGGCUGCACCCCCAACGUGGUGGCGUAUAACACCAUAAUCCAUGGCUUCUUCAAGGAAGGUCAAGUAAGCAAGGCAUGCAAUCUGUUCCAUGAAAUGGCGCAGCAGGGCGUUAAGCCUAAUGUGGUGACAUAUAACUCGGUUAUUGAUGCGCUGUGCAAGGCCAAAGCAAUGGACAAGGCAGAGUAUUUCCUUUGUCAGAUGGUUGAUAAUGGUGCCGUACCUAAUAAUGUGACAUAUAAUAGCCUCAUCCAUGGAUAUUCCUCUUCAGGCCAUUCAAAGGAGGCGGUCAGGGUGCUGAAAGAGAUGACAAGUAAGGGUAUCAUACCAGAUGUUUUUACUUGCAACUCGCUCAUGGCCUCCCUUUGCAAGAAUGGAAGAAGCAAAGAAGCUGCAGAAAUAUUUGAUUCAAUGUCCAUGAAGGGCCUGAAACCUAACACCGUUUCAUAUGCUAUUCGCCUUCAUGGGUAUGCCACCGAAGGAUGCUUAGUUGAUAUGAUUAAUCUCUUCAAUUCAAUGGAAAGAGACUGUAUUCUACCUGACUGUCAGAUCUUCAAUAUACUGAUUAAUGCAUAUGCUAAAUCUGGGAAGCUUGAUAAGGCUAUGCUUAUCUUCAAAAAAAUGCAGAAACAAGGAGUGAGUCCAAAUGCAGUCACAUAUUCAACCGUAAUAGAUGCAUUUUGUAAAAAGGGUCGGUUGGACGAUGCUGUGAUAAAGUUUAAUCAGAUGAUUGAUACAGGAGUACGACCGGACAUGGCUGUUUAUCGUUCUCUAAUCCAGGGUUUUUGUACACAUGGCGAUUUGGUGAAAGCAAAGGAAUAUGUUACUGAAAUGAUGAAGAAAGGUAUGCUUCCUCCUGAUAUUAUGUUCUUCAGUUCAAUAAUGCAGAACCUAUGCACGGAAGGAAGGGUAAUAGAAGCACGGAAUAUCCUCGACUUGAUGGUGCACAUAGGUAUGAGGCCGGAUGUUCCCAUCUUUAAUUUACUGAUAGGUGGAUACUGCCUAGUCUGCAAGAUGAAGAAUGCAACAAAAAUGUUUGAUGAUAUGGUGUCGUAUGGUUUGGAACCUUCUAAUAUUACGUAUGGUAUUCUUAUUAAUGGCUAUUGCAAAAACAGAAGGAUUGAUGACGGGCUGAUUCUGUUUAAAGAAAUGUUGCGCAAGGGACUUAAACCUACAACUUUUAAUUAUAACGUCAUCUUGGAUGGAUUAUUUCUGGCUGGACGAACUGUUGCCGCAAAGGAAAAGUUUAAUGAGAUGGUUGAAUCUGGAGUAAGUAUGUGCAUCAGUACUUACUCUAUAGUUCUUUGUGGACUUUGUAGAAAUAAUUGUAGCGGCGAAGCCAUCACGCUAUUCCAGAAAUUAAGCGCAAUGGAUGUGAAAUUCAAUAUUAGAAUUGUCAAUAUCAUGAUUGAUGCCUUCUUCAGGGUUCAGCGAAAGCAAGAAGCUAAGGAUUUGUUUGCUGCAAUAACAGCCAAUGGGUUGGUUGCUAAUGUUUUUACCUACAGCCUAAUGAUGACAAAUCUUAUAAAAGAAGGGUCAGUGGAAGAGGCUGACACACUCUUUUUAUCGAUGGAGAUGAGCGGCUGUACUUCGAACUCGUGGAUGUUAAAUCUUAUUAUCAGAAGGUUGCUGGAAAAAGGAGAGAUAGUCAAGGCUGGAUGUUAUAUGUCUAAAGUUGAUGCGAAGAGCUACUCACUUGAAGCUAAAACUGUUUCGUUCCUGAUCUCUCUCUUUUCAGGGAAAGGGAAAUACAGAGAACACAUAAGAUUGCUACCUAAAAAGUAUCAGUUUCUCGAAGAAGCAGCCACAGUUGAAUGGUUUGCUACAUGA
rnacentral:rRNA from 1 species